rnacentral:siRNA from 1 species
GGUGCUAGAUUGGUCAUCACAUC